GAAGAAGCUUUGUCGUCAGAAGAGUCGGAGCCGACUCGCUUAAGAUCAUGUGGAUCAAAGAAAAAAUUGAAGAAAAGGGAAGAGGUUUUGCCGUCAG
rnacentral:lncRNA from 1 species